rnacentral:rRNA from 1 species
AUUGAACGCUGGCGGCAGGCUUAACACAUGCAAGUCGAGCGGAGCGAGGGUGCUUGCACCUUAGCUUAGCGGCGGACGGGUGAGUAAUGCUUAGGAAUCUGCCUAUUAGUGGGGGACGACAUUCCGAAAGGAAUGCUAAUACCGCAUACGCCCUACGGGGGAAAGCAGGGGAUCUUCGGACCUUGCGCUAAUAGAUGAGCCUAAGUCGGAUUAGCUAGUCGGUGGGGUAAAGGCCUACCAAGGCGACGAUCUGUAGCGGGUCUGAGAGGAUGAUCCGCCACACUGGGCCUGAGACACGGCCCAGACUCCUACGGGAGGCAGCAGUGGGGAAUAUUGGACAAUGGGCGGAAGCCUGAUCCAGCCAUGCCGCGUGUGUGAAGAAGGCCUUUUGGUUGUAAAGCACUUUAAGCGAGGAGGAGGCUACUUAGAUUAAUACUCUGGGAUAGUGGACGUUACUCGCAGAAUAAGCACCGGCUAACUCUGUGCCAGCAGCCGCGGUAA